GAUGAACGCUAGCGAUAGGCCUAACACAUGCAAGUCGAGGGGCAUCACAUGAAGUAGCAAUACGGAUGGUGGCGACCGGCGCACGGGUGAGUAACACGUAUGCAACCUGCCUUCAACAAGGGGAUAACCCGUUGAAAAACGGACUAAUACCCUAUAAUACAGGGGUCCCGCAUGGGGAUAUUUGUUAAAGAUUGAUCGGUUGAAGAUGGGCAUGCGUUCCAUUAGCUGGUUGGUGAGGUAACGGCUCACCAAGGCAACGAUGGAUAGGGGAACUGAGAGGUUUAUCCCCCACACUGGUACUGAGACACGGACCAGACUCCUACGGGAGGCAGCAGUGAGGAAUAUUGGUCAAUGGACGCAAGUCUGAACCAGCCACGUCGCGUGAAGGAAGACGGCCCUACGGGGUUGUAAACUUCUUUUAAUACGGGAAUAAAGUGCCCCACGCGUGGGGUUUUGCAUGUACCGUAUGAAUAAGGAUCGGCUAACUCCGUGCCAGCAGCCGCGGUAAUUACGC
rnacentral:rRNA from 1 species